AGGAUAAUUUGGACAAGGCUCUUUCAGCUAGUAAUGACAGUCUGUCUGAGAACAACAAGGAGACUUCAGGAGUGUUCAGCGGAAUGUUCAGAAAGUCCCCAAAGUUCUUUGGCACAAGGACAAAGUCUAAGGAGGAUUUGUUUGCAGCCAGUGAAGUCUCGGCCAACGACGACGAGCUCACUGAGAACAACAACGUCAAGGUGA